GUUUGAUCCUGGCUCAGAUUGAACGCUGGCGGCAUGCCUUACACAUGCAAGUCGAACGGUAACGGGCCUUCGGGUGCCGACGAGUGGCGAACGGGUGAGUAAUGUAUCGGAACGUACCUUUCAGUGGGGGAUAACGUAGCGAAAGUUACGCUAAUACCGCAUAUUCUGUGCGCAGGAAAGCAGGGGAUCGCAAGACCUUGCGCUGAUUGAGCGGCCGAUAUCAGAUUAGCUAGUUGGUGAGGUAAAGGCUCACCAAGGCGACGAUCUGUAGCGGGUCUGAGAGGAUGAUCCGCCACACUGGAACUGAGACACGGUCCAGACUCCUACGGGAGGCAGCAGUGGGGAAUUUUGGACAAUGGGGGCAACCCUGAUCCAGCCAUGCCGCGUGAGUGAAGAAGGCCU
rnacentral:rRNA from 1 species